rnacentral:rRNA from 1 species
CCUACGGGUGGCAGCAGUGGGGAAUAUUGGACAAUGGGCGAAAGCCUGAUCCAGCCAUGCCGCGUGUGUGAAGAAGGCCUUCGGGUUGUAAAGCACUUUCAGUGGGGAAGAAAGCCUUGGGGCUAAUACCCUCGAGGAAGGACAUCACCCACAGAAGAAGCACCGGCUAACUCCAUGCCAGCAGCCGCGGUAAUACGGAGGGUGCGAGCGUUAAUCGGAAUUACUGGGCGUAAAGCGCGCGUAGGCGGUCUGAUAAGCCGGUUGUGAAAGCCCCGGGCUCAACCUGGGAACGGCAUCCGGAACUGUCAGGCUAGAGUGCAGGAGAGGAAGGUAGAAUUCCCGGUGUAGCGGUGAAAUGCGUAGAGAUCGGGAGGAAUACCAGUGGCGAAGGCGGCCUUCUGGACUGACACUGACGCUGAGGUGCGAAAGCGUGGGUAGCAAACAGGAUUAGAUACCCCUGUAGUC